rnacentral:rRNA from 1 species
AGAGUUUGAUCAUGGCUCAGAUUGAACGCUGGCGGCAUGCUUAAUACAUGCAAGUCGAACGGUAACAGAUUCUUCGGAAUGCUGACGAGUGGCGGACGGGUGAGUAAUACAUAGGAAUCUGCCCAUGUAGUGGGGGACAACUUGGGGAAACUCAAGCUAAUACCGCAUAAUUCCUACGGGAUAAAGAGGGCCACUGCUUGCAAGCUCUUGCUACUAGAUGAGCCUAUGUCGGAUUAGUUAGUUGGUAAGGUAAUGGCUUCCCAAGACAGCGAUCCGUAGCUGGUUUGAGAGGAUGAUCAGCCACACUGGGACUGAGACACGGCCCAGACUCCUACGGGAGGCAGCAGUAGGGAGUAUUGGACAAUGGGCGCAAGCCUGAUCCAGCAAUGCCGCGUGUGUGAAGAAGGCCUGCGGGUUGUAAAGCACUUUCAAUUGGGAAGAAAGAUUAUGAGUUAAUACCUUAUAAUA